GGGCUCAGCUAAGAGCGCAUCACCGUGUCUCGCUGUUGCAGUACUUAGUGGUCGGCACGGGUGAGUAAUGUCUGGGAAACUGCCCGAUGGAGGGGGAUAACUACUGGAAACGGUAGCUAAUACCGCAUAAUGUCGCAAGACCAAAGAGGGGGACCUUCGGGCCUCUUGCCAUCGGAUGUGCCCAGAUGGGAUUAGCUAGUUGGUGAGGUAACGGCUCACCAAGGCGACGAUCCCUAGCUGGUCUGAGAGGAUGACCAGCCACACUGGAACUGAGACACGGUCCAGACUCCUACGGGAGGCAGCAGUGGGGAAUAUUGCACAAUGGGCGCAAGCCUGAUGCAGCCAUGCCGCGUGUAUGAAGAAGGCCUUCGGGUUGUAAAGUACUUUCAGCGGGGAGGAAGGGGUUAAGGUUAAUAACCUUAGCCAUUGACGUUACCCGCAGAAGAAGCACCGGCUAACUCCGUGCCAGCAGCCGCGGUAAUACGGAGGGUGCAAGCGUUAAUCGGAAUUACUGGGCGUAAAGCGCACGCAGGCGGUCUGUCAAGUCGGAUGUGAAAUCCCCGGGCUCAACCUGGGAACUGCAUUCGAAACUGGCAGGCUUGAGUCUCGUAGAGGGGGGUAGAAUUCCAGGUGUAGCGGUGAAAUGCGUAGAGAUCUGGAGGAAUACCGGUGGCGAAGGCGGCCCCCUGGACGAAGACUGACGCUCAGGUGCGAAAGCGUGUGGAGCAAACAGGAUUAGAUACCCUGGUAGUCCACGCCGUAAACGAUGUCUAUUUGAAGGUUGUGCCCUUGAGGUGUGCCUUCCGCAGCUAACGCGUUAAAUAGACCGCCUGGAGAGUACGGCCGCAAGGUUGACACUCAAAUGAAUUGACGGAGGUCCCGCACAACCGGGGGAGCAUGUAGGUUAAUUCAAUGCAACGCAAAGAACCUUACCUGUUCUUGACUUCCACAGAACUUGACAGAAAUACCUUGUUCCCUUCCGGAACUGGAAAGCAAGGGGCUGAUGUCUUACGCCCACCCCCCUUCCCGAGUGGUGAAUGGU
rnacentral:rRNA from 1 species